UAGCGUAGGGUGCAAGCGUUUAUCCGGAAGUUAUUGGGCGUAAAGAGCUCGUAGGCGGUUUGUCGCGUCUGCUGUGAAAACCCGAGCUCGAACCUCGGGCCUUGCAGUGGGUACGGGCAGACUUGAGUUUGGUAGGGGUAAGCGGAAUUCCUGGUGUAGGCGGUGGAAAAUGCGCAGAUAUCAGGAGGAACACCGAUGGCGAAGGCAGCGUUACUGGGCCAAUACUGACGCUGAGGAGCGAAAGCGUGGGGAGCGAACAGG
rnacentral:rRNA from 1 species